GUUAAUGUUUGACUCUUCGUAUUAUUUAAAAAAAUUAUGAUUAAGAUUUUUAUUUUUAUUAGAUGAUAAAUCGUGAAUAGUACUUUACGUGUGACUCAUUCUAUUAUAAUUUCUUAAAAAAUUUUUAAAUAAAAUGGAUAGUCAAACGCUAAACACGAAACC
rnacentral:pre_miRNA from 1 species